GUUGCAUUUCCCUGUUGGAGUUUGAUAUUGCUUCAGAGCAUCUUUGUUUGGACUAUUGAUAUGUUGAGAGCAGGAAGAGUGCAAUAGGAUUUUUGGAGCUACAGCCUGUCUCUUCGAUUCUAGGAGCUGAUUUUUUGCAAGCAUCCAGUUCGGAACCUCCUCCGCUGCCUGUGGUGAUGGAUUGAUACCUCUCAGUCAACUUAGGUUACCACAAAAGACCACUCCUCUUCUAAAAGUAAGGCCUCUCAUCUCUCCAUCUAAAAUCCCCUCCUUUUCUGUUAAUCAUUACUACCUCUUUUAGACCAUUUGUUGUAGCUUUCUUGAAAAAGCUGUGUCUUAUUACUGUGCUUUCAUAUUUCUAUUCUAGGAACUGAAAUUUAUUGAUCUUGUCGGUUUCAGUUGAAAUAAACACAGUAAUUGUUUAGCUUAUUUUUCUAACAAGUUUUGACAUCUUGUUGAUGUAAGUUAUGGUAAAGCUGAAAAGGUUGUUGAUGUUGCUCUCAUUGUAGACGAUGGAACAGGCUGGAUCAGUUGCAGGAAAUGGUUGUGUGUAUUGACAGAAAAAUUCAGUGCAAGUCUUUUAAUUUUGAUCUUCAUUUUUACCUUCUCCUUUUGCUUUAUGGAGUUUAAGUCAGAGAAAGUUUGGUGCUCCAGAAAUCAAAUCAUGAACUUAAAACUUGUUGAUAUACUAAAUCAAAUUUGGGGUUUUUUCUUUGUUGUAGAAACUAGUUUUGACUUGUGUUUAACCUUAGGAGGGUGCAUGAGCACUUUGACAUUGGAAAUGUAGACAGCAGAGUAUGUUACCUGUCCUCUUCAUUUCCCCUGCCAAUGCAUUGUGGUAUGAUUUCUUUAACAUUUUAAAUCUUCUGAUUAUACAAUAGGGACAGACUAUCAUUGUUUUCAUGGAGGCCAUAGGCUUUCCUGACCAGUCUGAGAUUAUUUACUGCUCAUCCUGUUGUUAGAAGAACUGAUUUUGGAAUCCUUAGUUUAUAGAGUGUGCUUUGUCCUCCUA